rnacentral:rRNA from 1 species
UACAGAGGUCUCAAGCGUUGUUCGGAUUCAUUGGGCGUAAAGAGCUCGUAGGCGGCUGCUCAAGUCGAAUGUGAAAACUCGAGGCUCAACCUCGAGCCUGCAUUCGAUACUGGGCGGCUAGAGUCUGGUAGGGGGAUCUGGAAUUCCUGGUGUAGCGGUGAAAUGCGCAGAUAUCAGGAGGAACACCGGUGGCGAAGGCGGAUCUCUGGGCCUUACCUGACGCUGAGGCGCGAAAGCUAGGGGAGCAAACAGG